UUCAUUUUUUUGCUUCAGAUUUCUAUUUUUUUUUUAAUUACUCUAACUCUCUGUUUGGUUGGUGAGAAAACAGAUAAAAAUAAAAGAGUAUAAGAAAAAUGAGGAAAAUUAAAAAACUGUAAAAUACUGCCGCAGAUUAGCGUUAUUUGUCCUUGACUAACUAAAGUACUUGUUUAUCUUAGCUAAUAUGAAUCUUGCAUUUUCUGGUAUUUAUUCAAUUUUUUAUUGCGUAUUUAUGUUUAGAACUGGCUAAAUGUUGGGUAAUGUGGAUUCUACGUGGUUUUCG
rnacentral:misc_RNA from 1 species